rnacentral:lncRNA from 1 species
UUGCUCUGAACUGAUCUUGGUUGUGGCUUUAUUCCUUAUAUAGUGGCAUAAAUGUUACUGGCAUGGAAAUGUGAAAAACAAAGGGCUAGUUAAUAUUUAGGAUUUUGUUACUUGGAGAACUGAGCUGCAAGAGUGAGCAGUAGUUCAUUUGGACAGUAUUGUUUACACCAUAACACUGUAAUUGAAGUUGCAGCUGACUUCUCUUACAGAUUUUAGGACCAAAAACGCUUCAAUUUGAAGAAAUGGCUUUCAUUUACCUAGAAUGGAGAUGUAUAAAAUGAUCCAGUUGAACUUGGUUCUUGUUAUUGCCCAGAAUUUUGUCAGUUUGGGACUGAAGUUUUCUUAUUUAGCUGAUGAAUAAUGUCCAAAAUUUUAUUAUGGAAACUUUUACACAUUGAAUUUCCUUGUUUCACACCUUGGGUGUAAUAAUCCACAGUCAGUUGUUGCUUUGUUUGGCAGGCACACUGACAAAUAGUGACAAAUGUUAGAUAAGCACAUGUUUAGACAUUCUGUCAAUGCUCAGGCUG